rnacentral:rRNA from 1 species
GACGAACGCUGGCGGCGUGCUUAACACAUGCAAGUCGAACGGAAAGGCCCCUUUGGUGGUACUCGAGUGUCGGACGGGUGCGUAACACGUGCGUAACCUUCCCUUGACUUCGAGAUAACUUCAGGUAACUGGGGCUAAUACCGGUUAGGAAUCCUUUCUUCAUGGGGGGGGUUGAAAAGCUUCGGCGGUUUUUGAUGGACUCGCGGCUUAUCAGCUUGUUGGUGGGGUAGUGGCUUACCAAGGCGUUGACGGGUAGCCGGCCUGAGAGAGCGACCGGCCACAUUGGCACUGAGGGGCGGCACAGACUGCGACGGGAGGGAGAAGUGGGGAAUACUGAACAAUCGGCGGAAGGCUGAUGAAGAAAGGCCGCGUGCGGGAUGACGGUCUUCGUGGUGUAAACCGCUUUCAGCAGGAGCGGAGCUUGUGGUGACGGUACCUGAAGAAGAAGCACCGGCUAACUACGUG